UACGGAGGGUGCAAACGUUGCUCGGAAUCAUUGGGCGUAAAGCGCACGUAGCGGGCUGCCAAGUCGGAUGUGAAAGCCCUCGGCUUAACCGAGGAAGUGCACUCGAAACUGGCAGUCUUGAGUACGGGAGAGGGUCGCGGAAUUCCCGGUGUAGAGGUGAAAUUCGUAGAUAUCGGGAGGAACACCAGUGGCGAAGGCGGCGACCUGGACCGAUACUGACGCUGAGGUGCGAAAGCGUGGGGAGCAAACAGG
rnacentral:rRNA from 1 species